rnacentral:rRNA from 1 species
AAUGAACGCUGGCGGCAGGCCUAAAACAUGCAAGUCGAACGCUCUAGCUUGCUAGAGAGUGGCGCACGGGUGAGUAACAUGUGGGAAUAUGCCUUUUGGUACGGAACAACAGUUGGAAACGACUGCUAAUACCGUAUGGUCCCUUCGGGGUAAAGAUUUAUCGCCAAAAGAUUAGCCCGCACUGGAUUAGCUAGUUGGUAAGGUAACGGCUUACCAAGGCGACGAUCCAUAGCUGGUCUUAGAGGACGAUCAGCCACACUGGAACUGAGACACGGUCCAG